GAUCCAUUAGCUCAGUCGGUAGAGCACCUGACUUUUAAUCAGGGCGUCCGGAGUUCGAAUCUCCGAUGGAUCACCA
rnacentral:tRNA from 1 species